rnacentral:lncRNA from 1 species
CAAAAACCAAAAAGAAGAUGACCCUUUAUUUAUUUUGUUAAUAACUGGCUCUGAAAGCAAUGAAUAUGUGGAUUGUAGAGUGAAUGAAUGCAAAGGGAAGCAAUAAAUGGAAGAGUAAUUAGAGAGAGAGAGAGAGAGAGAGAGAGAGAGAGAGAGAGAAAGUAGGUGGGUGUGUGGAUUGAAGCAGGUUAACUAACAACUAGUAGUGGCAAAGAGAAAGAACAAAGAGUGAAUAGGAGAAGGUGAAGUGUGUACGGAUCCAGGUAAAAGAGAAGAAGGAC